UGGUGGAGUGAUUUGUCUGGUUAAUUCCGUUAACGAACGAGACCUCGACCUGCUAAAUAGUUCGUACUAUCCUUAGGGAUAGUGACGUGACUUCUUAGAGGGACUAUCGGUGUGUAGCCGAUGGAAGUUCGAGGCAAUAACA
rnacentral:rRNA from 1 species